rnacentral:lncRNA from 1 species
GAAUUUUGUAAAAUAACUUAUGUUUUUGCUUUUCAGAUAAAAGUUAGUUUCAGUUUUAUAGGUUGCAGGCUCAGUAUUGGUAAUAAAUAAUUGAUAAUAAAUAAUAUUGAUAAUAAUAAAUUAUCAAAAAAUAAUGGGCUUGUUUUUGAAGCUGAGGUUGCUUAUUUGUCUCGCGAGAGUUGGCAACUAUGGUCACCGCUGAAACACGCUGUUUCGUCACCGCGGGCGCUGGCUGACUGAAUUCUCUGACUAAUUCUCUCAUCAGAAACAACAAAUUGAAGAUGUACGAAUCUAAGUUAAUUAUGCAUCGGAUCUCCAAAGCUGCACUGGCCCAACCAGCUGUGUGAGUUUAGGGCAACACUUUCUGUUCAACCCAUGGCAGAUGGGGGAGGAAACCUUUUUCAAAACAGUCAUUAUAUCUAAUAAUGAUCCGGUAAAAAAAAAAAAAAAAAAAAAAAACGAUUAAAAGGGCGAAAAAAAAUCAUUUUAUUUGAGGAAAACUAUGAUGAGUAGUCAAAAAAAUAUAAAAAAUAGUUCAAAAGUCCCUUUUGAAGAGCAUAGUCAUAUUUAGUGUCCAAAAUAGAUUUGGAAGGAGAUUCUCAUAAUGAUGCUGCCAAAUUUUCCACGUGAAAAUGAGAGAUUCAGGAGAUAAAGUGUUAAUGAAUGGCAGGUAUACGGUCGGUAACUGUGGCUCUUGGCCAUGGGUAAAACUGCGUUUGUGGGCAUAUGACAAGCAUGGGAUUUCCCUCUUCUAUGGAAUUUUUCUCAAUGAAUUCAGGAGUUUAAAAGCUCAAGCCCUGAAAACUCAUCAAUCAGAUCAAUUUACAACUUCACUACAACUUUACAACUUCACAACAAAUUAAAAAACAGAGCAAUGAAUACCUAUGCAUGCUUCAUAUUUCUGCUGGCCAUUGGUCUUUCUGCUCAGAAGUCAGAGUUCGAGAUAGACUUCGAAAAUAUGGUGAAAACAGUAAAACUGGAGGACAAUAAGACACUUUUGCACUGCACAGAAAAAUGCGACGAGGUAAAGGAAGCAUGCAAAUGUCGCAGGUUCACUUGUUCGGUGGAAACCCCUUUUAUUGAAUGCAUUAAAAAUGGCCUUGGCGAUCUCAAAUUAAUGCAAACUGAAAAUAUCAUCACAAGACUAAUGUAUCUGAAUAUAACGUCUGAAAAGAAAAGAAUGCUGACAGACCAAAAGCUUUCACACAAGAUGUCUCCUAAAAGCUUCCUUGACUACAUUUUGGAGCUCUAUCAAGAAACAAAUGCUAAAAAUUCUGGUUGAUAUUUCCAUUUAUCGGUUUAAUUUAUAACAUAUUUAUAUAUUUAUUCAUUUAUUUAUUCUUGUUGGUAUGAAUGUUUCUAACUGUCAAAUGUGAAUUUUUCUAACUGUCAAAUGUAGAGUUUACACAAUAAAAUCAAACUUCAAAUCUACUGUAUGUAGCCUAUUAAAAUUCAGCAAAUAAUGGCAUCUCAUUACAAGACUUUUAUAAGAGAACUCAUGUAAGAUCAGGGUUAAUUCUCUUAUCUGGUCAAUUUUCAAUUUGGACUUAAUUCUAUCCAAUUCUUCUUUUUCUUCUUCUUUUCUUCUUCUUUUCACCUUUUUCUAUAUUUAACUGCAGCAGUCAAAGGCAAAAAUAUGUAAAUAUGCUAUAUACUUAUACUUACAUAUUAAAUAGCAU